rnacentral:lncRNA from 10 species
GUGGGUACCCACAAAAUUAUGUAACUGCCUUACAGUUAAAGGGGGGCGUGCCACACCAUGCAGAGCCACAUGGGGAAGUACCAAGAACAGGCAAAACAAAGGAGAGAGCAGGACUUAGAGCUUUUGCCGUAGUUUCUGCAGGAAGGAAUGGGCAAGGCAGAGGAGACAAGUUUGACAAGUUUAGGAUUGGAUAGUAUGAAUAAUUUUGAUGGACUCUGACCUUUAAGAGUGGUCUUUAGUUGUUUCGUACCUGGCCUUGGGGGUGAUUUAGAGCAGGGGAAGUACUGGCUUGGUGUAUAGGAGUUAGAUAGAGGAGGUAGUUGGGGAUACGGGCUUUGAUUGGUGUAUAGGAGUUAGAUAAAGGAAGUAGUUGGGGAUAUGGGCUUUGACUGCUGUAUAGGACUUAGAUAGAGGAGGUAGUUGGGAAUAUGGGCUUUGAUUGGUGUACAGGAGUUACACAGAGGGGGUAGUGGGGAUAUGGGCUUUGAUUGAUUGGUUUGCACAUGAAAGGCAAGUUGUUUGCUAUCUCUAAGAAUCUGAUAGCCUUGGUGAGCUGCAGGACGUCAAACCAUCAUAAAGUAUAGAUCUCCACAGGAUGCCAUAGUGAAUAGUGCUAUGUUUUCCUGAGGAGAUAUAAGACUUAGCUACUCGGCCGGGCGCGGUGGCUCACGCCUGUAAUCCCAGCACUUUGGGAGGCCGAGAUGGGCGGAUCACAAGGUCAGGAGAUCGAGACCAUCCUGGCUAACAAGAUGAAACCUCGUCUCUACCAAAAAUACAAAAAAAUUAGCUGGGCAUGGUGGUGAGUGCCUGUAGUCCCAGCCACUUGGGAGGCUGAGACAGG